rnacentral:snRNA from 1 species
GUGAUCAUACUGAUAACAUGUUG